rnacentral:rRNA from 1 species
AGAGUUUGAUCCUGGCUCAGGACGAACGCUGGCGGCGUGCUUAACACAUGCAAGUCGAGCGAGGUGCUUGCACCUAGCGGCGAACGGGUGAGUAACACGUGAGCAACCUGCCCUUGGCUCUGGGAUAGCCUCCGGAAACGGGGAUUAAUACCGGACAUGACCUGCUCUUGCAUGAGAGCGGGUGGAAAGUUUUUCGGCCA